GUGGGGAAUUUUGCGCAAUGGGGGAAACCCUGACGCAGCAACGCCGCGUGAGUGAUGAAGGCCUUCGGGUCGUAAAGCUCUGUCAGAGGGGAAGAAGUGUGGGGUGGCUAAUAUCCAUUUCACUUGACGGUACCUUCAAAGGAAGCACCGGCUAACUCCGUGCCAGCAGCCGCGGUAAUACGGAGGGUGCGAGCGUUGUUCGGAAUUAUUGGGCGUAAAGCGCGUGUAGGCGGUUUUUUUAGUCUGAUGUGAAAGCACUGGGCUCAACCCGGGAAGUGCAUUGGAAACUGGGAGACUUGAAUACGGGAGAGGGCAGUGGAAUUCCUGGUGUAGGAGUGAAAUCCGUAGAUAUCAGGAGGAACACCGGUGGCGAAGGCGGCUGCCUGGACCGAUAUUGACGCUGAGACGCGAAAGCGUGGGGAGCAAACAGGAUUAGAAACCCGAGUAGUCC
rnacentral:rRNA from 1 species